AUUGAACGCUGGCGGCAGGCCUAACACAUGCAAGUCGAACGAGUGGCGGACGGGUGAGUAACACGUGGGUAACCUGCCCUGCACUUCGGGAUAAGCCUGGGAAACUGGGUCUAAUACCGGAUAGUGUGGGGUGGGCCCGCGGCCUAUCAGCUUGUUGGGGGGGUAAUGGCUACCAAGGCGCGACGGGUAGCCGGCCUGAGAGGGUGGUCAGCCACACUGGGACUGAGACACGGCCCAGACUCCUACGGGAGGCAGCAGUGGUGAAUAUUGCACAAGGGGCGCAAGCCUGAUGCAGCCAUGCCGCGUGUAUGAAGAAGGCCUUAGGGUUGUAAAGUACGGAGAGGUAAGUUACGUUACCCGCAGAAGAAGCACCGGCUAACUCCGUGCCAGCAGCCGCGGUAAUAC
rnacentral:rRNA from 1 species